CAGCCGCCGCGGUAAUACGUAGGGGGCGAGCGUUGUCCGGACUUAUUGGGCGUAAAGCGCGCGCAGGCGGUCCCUUAAGUCUGAUGUGAAAGCCCACGGCUCAACCGUGGAGGGUCAUUGGAAACUGGGGGACUUGAGUGCAGAAGAGGAGAGCGGAAUUCCACGUGUAGCGGUGAAAUGCGUAGAGAUGUGGAGGAACACCAGUGGCGAAGGCGGCUCUCUGGUCUGUAACUGACGCCGAGGCGCGAAAGCGUGGGGAGCAAACAGGAUUAGAUACCCGGGUAGUCCACGCCGUAAACGAUGAGUGCUAAGUGUUAGAGGGGUUAAACCCUUUAGUGCUGUAGCUAACGCGUUAAGCACUCCGCCUGGGGAGUACGGCCGCAAGGCUGAAACUUAAAGGAAUUGGCGGG
rnacentral:rRNA from 1 species